AUUGAACGCUGGCGGCAUGCCUUACACAUGCAAGUCGAACGGCAGCACGGGAGCAAUCCCGGUGGCGAGUGGCGAACGGGUGAGUAAUGUAUCGGAACGUGCCCAGUCGUGGGGGAUAACGUAGCGAAAGCUACGCUAAUACCGCAUACGAUCUAUGGAUGAAAGCGGGGGAUCGCAAGACCUAGCGCGAUUGGAGCGGCCGAGAUCAGAUUAGGUAGUUGGUGGGGUAAAGGCUCACCAAGCCGACGAACUGUAGCUGGUCUGAGAGGACGACAAGCCACACUGGGACUGAGACACGGCCCAGACUCCUACGGGAGGCAGCAGUGGGGAAUUUUGGACAAUGGGCGAAAGCCUGAUCCAGCAAUGCCGCGUGCAGGAUGAAGGCCUUCGGGUUGUAAACUGCUUUCGUACGGAACGAAACGGCGAACUCUAAUACAGUUUGCUAAUGACGGUACCGUAAGAAUAAGCACCGGCUAACUACGUGCCAGCAGCCGCCGUAA
rnacentral:rRNA from 1 species